ACUUCCAUCCUCCUUGUCCUUUGACAGCAGGCUAAGCCUCCCUGUCCCCCGUGUGGACCUGCCUGUCACUCUCCCACUUUAACGUUAAGCUCCGCCCUCACUGUCCUUCCCCCUCGCCUGCUUAUUACAAGUCCACUCAAGGUCUUUUCAUCCUUCGAUCUUUAUCUCUGGUUUCAUCCCAGACCAAGUCUCAGUCACCUGUAACUCCCCUUUUUCUCCUUUGCUGUCGCUCCAUGGCACACACUUCUGGCCAGAGGGACAGAACUGAAGAAGUUUCCAGACUCCUGGGAUUCUCCUGGUAGAGGACGGCAUCAUCCCGGGACUCCGAAGCUCAGCAUGCCCCUCCCCUCCCCUCAGCUCUCUGUCUGUCUGGCUGGGCCGAGCCUCCUUCACGCUUCCAUAAGGACCUCCCCUGUCAGCCUUUGUCGUCACCCACCACGUCUCACGGGACCACCACAGAUCACGGACACAAUUGAAAACACUGGUUAUAUUACCAAGGCUUUGACUGGAAUGUCAUGUUUGAGACAGACAUGCAUUGACUCAGAUAUGACCAGACAGCUUUAAGGAACUAAAGUUGACUUUAUGGAACCAACAAAGCCGCUUGGAAGAAGAACUGGCCUGACAUCUUGCUUACAGGGUUCCCAGCAGCCUGACCAGACUACAGUCUUUCGAGAUUAAAGUCCUAUUGUCAUGAAUAUUUAAGCCUCUACCAACUGAUAAAUUAGCUGACUUCCUGAGACCCCAGGACGAGCACCCUCACUGCACCAUCCUGACAGUCAGCAAGCAGAGGGACCCAGAAGGACUGCCCCUCACUAGCAGGAAGCAGCCAGGGCGGGCAUCACCCCUCAGCCCAGUGACCUGGGUCCCGACUGCUUGGGGGUGGAAUAUGAGGCGAAAAGACAGACAUGAGUGGGAGGAAAAGAGGGUGGGGCCCACCAAGAACUCAGGGAGUUAAUCAGAUAAAGCCAGAAAGCCAGAGAUAAUGCAGAAGAUGAAUUAAAUAAAGCCACAGGGACUGAGAGUGACUUGAAGGGCAGUCACUCCCCACAUAACAACAACAACAAAAAACCCCCAGAUGAAAACAUCACAGCACAGGCCCAUGUCUUCAAUCCUCCAAUCAGAUCAAGCCCUCAAGACCAAAGAAUGUCAGUCAAGAACUUCUCUGCCUUGCCAAAAAAACCCACAAAAGAAGCCUCCGGGUAAGCAGCCUGCCUGGGUCUACCUUGACUCUGGCCUGCUCCUUCCUUGGGGUGUAAUCAAAUAAACCUGGACUCUGGUCUGCUUCUCUGGAGAAUAUUCUAAUAAAACUUUCA